AGCAAAUUAUAUAAAACAGGAGAUGGUAAACCAACUUCAAUAGAAACAAAUGGAAUAGGUGAAAAUUUACUUUCUAUGGGGUCCUAACACAGCCUUUAGAAAAUAAUUGUGAUAAUUAUGCUGAAAAUAAGACAAGUAAGUAUUAAGGUACUCUAAUAAUUUAUAAAAUUUUUGAAUUUUGAAUUAAUUAGUCGUAUAUUUUAAUAGCAGAAAUAGCUACAACUCGUAUAGUAGCUAUUGAAGAUAUAGCUGGAUGUGAAAUAAUAUCUACUGCACAAAUUAGUAAUGUUACAUCUGUAGAAGUUAAUGAAGCCUUUUCAGAUUAUUUUUAUAUUGAAGGACUUCAAAACAUUAAUAAUCAGUAGGUAAAUCUUAAAAUAAAAAUUUUUAUGGAAUACAAUUAUUUUUAUCUUAUAAUGAAUUAGUUACAUUUCAAUCAGGGUUCCAGUAGUCAGGAUGGCAAAAGUAUUCAAAGCAGAAAAAGAAAACCAGCUGAACUAAAUUCAGCCAUUUACAAACAGAUUUAAAAACUAAACAGAUUGAAAAGGAACACAAAUUAAAAACUCAAGAUUGACUGAAGAACACAACAUGAAAAUGCUGUUUAUGGAAAAAAAGUCAAAAGUACAAGAAAAAAUUUUACAAAUUUUAGAAGAAAAUCCUUCCUCUUUAACAUUACAACUUGCAAAUUUUUAAGUCUUAUUUUUAUGCAAAAAUAUGUAGAU